CACACACACACACACACACGUAAACCAUUACUCCACACAGCUUUUCUUAGGGUUUAGUAAACUGUAGAACAUUCUGAUGAACCAAACCUGAGCUUCUCUAUGAUCCAUUUUUUGUACAGCACCUAACAUGCUUCUGUGUUCUGUGAGUGCCCCAGAUCAUCUCUGCAUCAGAUCCUGCUGUACUCCAGUAGUGUGGAAUAUACGUGUGUGUGUGUGUGUGUGUGUGUGUGUGUGUGUGUGUAUCCUUGCCUCAUGCCCAGUAUUCCCAGAAAAGGUUCUGGACCAUUCUCUGAACCAGGAUAUGUCAGGUCCUUUACACAUUUUUCCAUCAGAUCAAAUCAAAAGUAAUUCCACAAUGACAGAAGUUUUAUUCUGCUUGACUUCAAGCCCACAUACUGCACAUCUCCACACUUUCUCUCCUGGUCAGUCAUUUUGCCCAGCAGUCAUGUGAUGUCCUUUUCAGCGUCCCUGGAGACUCCAGCAGACGUCAUCCGAGCAGCCUGUGGUCCAGGAGAUAAGUCAUGGCCUCACAUCAUCUGUAUGCGUGUUGAGAGAGCCCACUUUCGCAGAAUCCACUUGCGCUGAGCUUCAAUGCUGCGACUAUUUGGGGGCGUUUAAAAACAUUUGAGCAGCUCACAGGGUUUGUGUGUAUUUGAUGUAGGCUUGAUGUUUUUAUUUGAUCUUGUCCAGUGGGAUGCCAAAAACCUCCAUAUUGCAUUAAUUACUAUAAGGAUUAUAAAUCCGAGUAUUGUAAAUAUAAACAUUUUUGUUAAAACUGUAUAGAUAAAGUGUGUUGAUGGAACUGAAUCAUUUGUUAUAACGGUUAUUCCUUCAGUGUACAAUUACAGAAGUUUAAUAAAAAGCAGUUAAGUGUCACCUUAAAA